ACUUGGAUAUGGAUUCUUCACGGUAACGUAACUGAAUGUGGAGACGUCGGCAUGAGCCCUGGGAGGAGUUAUCUUUUCUUCUUAACAGCUUAUCACCCUGGAAUUGGUUUAUCCGGAGAUAGGGUCUUAUGGCUGGAAGAGGUCAGCAUCGCUGCUGGCUCCGGUGCGCUUGUGGCGGCCCGUGAAAAUCCACAGGAAGGAAUAGUUUUCAUGCUAGGUCGUACU
rnacentral:rRNA from 2 species